rnacentral:lncRNA from 1 species
GGACGAAAGAAUCUGGUGGGGCGUUUAAUCCCGGUUGGUAAUUCCAACCGGGACUAAGGGGGGGUCUUUAGUUCAGGUUGGUGUUACCGACCGGGACUAAAUGCCUCACCUAUAAAAGUCAGCUUUUUCCUCCCCGAGCCUAAGCCACUCAGACCGAGAGCUUCGAGCUCCUUCUCCAUGGUGAGCAAGCAAGCUUCGGGAGGUGCUGCCCGAUUUUUUCCCUCAUUUUCGUGGGGAUUUCACUCAUCCAAUGUCUUGUAAAGGUUAACUACUUCAUCCUCCC